GUCCACGCCCUAAACGAUGCGUGCUCGGUGUUGGGACUUCAAUCUGUCCCAGUGCCUCAGCUAACGCGGUAAGCACGCCGCCUGGGUAGUACGGCCGCAAGGUUAAAACCCAAAGGAAUAGACGGGGACCCACACAAGCGGUGGAGCGUGGGGUUUAAUUCGAUGAUAAGCGAAGCACCUCACCCAGGCUUGACAUCUUAGGAAUCUCCUAGAAAUAGGGGAGUGCCGCAAGGAACCUAAAGACAGGCGCUGCACGGUCGUCGU
rnacentral:rRNA from 1 species